rnacentral:rRNA from 1 species
UGGGGAAUAUUGCACAAUGGAGGGAACUCUGAUGCAGCGACGCCGCGUGAGUGAUGAAGGAAUUCGUUUCGUAAAACUCUGUUCUAUGGGAAGAAAAGGACUGUACCAUAGGAGAAAGCUCCGGCUAAAUACGUGCCAGCAGCCGCGGUAAUACGUAUGGAGCGAGCGUUGUCCGGAAUUAUUGGGCGUAAAGGGUGCGCAGUCGGCUUUACAAGUUGGAUGUGAAAUAUUGUGGCUCAACCACAAACGUGCAUCCAAAACUGCAAAGCUUGAGUUAAGGAGAGGUAAGUGGAAUUCCUGGUGUAGCGAUGGAAUGCGUAGAUAUCAGGGGAAAUAACGGUGGCGAAGGCGACUGACUGGACUUAAACUGACGCCCAGGCACGAAAGCGUGGGGAGCAAACAGG